rnacentral:rRNA from 1 species
GUGGGGAAUAUUGGACAAUGGGCGCAAGCCUGAUCCAGCCAUGCCGCGUGAGUGAUGAAGGCCUUAGGGUUGUAAAGCUCUUUCAGUGGGGACGAUAAUGACGGUACCCACAGAAGAAGCCCCGGCUAACUUCGUGCCAGCAGCCGCGGUAAUACGAAGGGGGCUAGCGUUGUUCGGAUUUACUGGGCGUAAAGCGCACGUAGGCGGAUCGUUAAGUCGGGGGUGAAAUCCUGGAGCUCAACUCCAGAACUGCCUUCGAUACUGGCGAUCUUGAGUCCGGAAGAGGUGAGUGGAACUCCUAGUGUAGAGGUGGAAUUCGUAGAUAUUAGGAAGAACACCAGUGGCGAAGGCGGCUCACUGGUCCAUUACUGACGCUGAGGUGCGAAAGCGUGGGGAGCAAACAGGAUUAGAAACCCCUGUAGUCC